UACAGAGGGUGCGAGCGUUGUCCGGAAUCACUGGGCGUAAAGGGCGCGUAGGCGGCUUCUUAAGCGUGUGGUGAAAGCGCGGGGCUCAACCCCGCGUCGGCCGUGCGAACUGGGGAGCUGGAGCACGUCAGAGGCAGGCGGAAUUCCGGGUGUAGCGGUGGAAUGCGUAGAGAUCCGGAAGAACACCGGUGGCGAAGGCGGCCUGCUGGGACGUGGCUGACGCUGAGGCGCGACAGCGUGGGGAGCAAACACGG
rnacentral:rRNA from 1 species